GGCGGGGUAGCUCAGCCUGAUAGAGCAGUCGGCUCAUACCCGAUUGGCCGAGAGUUUAAAUCUCUCCCCCGCCACCA
rnacentral:tRNA from 1 species